GCCUCGGGGGUGAGAUAAACAUGCUAGUCAACGUCUCCAGCCAUGGAGGAGACGUGGCAAACGGCUCAGUAACACGUGGCCAACCUAACCUUGAGACAGGAACAACCCCGGGAAACUGGGGACAAUUCCAGAUAGGCGAGGAAGCCUGGAAUGACUCCUCACCCAAAAGACGCCUAAACCACGCUUUAGAUGCCGCUCAAGGAUGGAGCCGCGACCGAUCAGGUAGUUGGUAGGACAAAGGCCUACCAAGCCAAUAACCGGUACGGGCCGUGAGAGCGGUAGCCCGGAGAUGGGUACUGAGACAAGGACCCAGGCCCUAUGGGGCGCAGCAGGCGAGAAAACUUUGCAAUGUGCGAAAGCACGACAAGGUUAAUCCGAGUGGUUUCUGCUAAAGGAACCUUUUGUCAGUCCUAGAAACACUGAUGAAUAAGGGGUGGGCAAGUUCUGGUGUCAGCCGCCGCGGUAAAACCAGCACCUCAAGUGGUCAGGAUGAUUAUUGGGCCUAAAGCAUCCGUAGCCUGCUUUGUCAGUCUUCGGUUAAAUCCAUACGCUCAACGUAUGGGCUGCCGGGAAUACUGCAAAGCUAGGGAGUGGGAGAGGUAGACGGUACUCGGUAGGAAGGGGUAAAAUCCUUUGAUCUAUUGAUGACCACCUGUGGCGAAGGCGGUCUACCAGAACACGUCCGACGGUGAGGGAUGAAAGCUGGGGGAGCAAACCGGAUUAGAUACCCGGGUAGUCCCAGCUGUAAACUAUGCAAACUCAGUGAUGCAUUGGCUUGAUGCCAAUGCAGUGCUGCAGGGAAGCCGUUAAGUUUGCCGCCUGGGGAAGUACGUACGCAAGUAUGAAACUUAAAGGAAUUGGCGGGGGAGCACCACAAAGGGGUGAAGCCUGCGGUUCAAUUGGAGUCAACGCCGGG
rnacentral:rRNA from 1 species